rnacentral:rRNA from 1 species
GACGAACGCUGGCGGCGUGCUUAACACAUGCAAGUCGAACGGAAAGGCCCUGCUUUUGUGGGGUGCUCGAGUGGCGAACGGGUGAGUAACACGUGAGUAACCUGCCCUUGACUUUGGGAUAACUUCAGGAAACUGGGGCUAAUACCGGAUAGGAGCUCCUGCUGCAUGGUGGGGGUUGGAAAGUUUCGGCGGUUGGGGAUGGACUCGCGGCUUAUCAGCUUGUUGGUGGGGUAGUGGCUUACCAAGGCUUUGACGGGUAGCCGGCCUGAGAGGGUGACCGGCCACAUUGGGGCUGAGAUACGGCCCAGACUCCUACGGGAGGCAGCAGUGGGGAAUAUUGCACAAUGGGCGGAAGCCUGAUGCAGCAACGCCGCGCGCGGGAUGACGGCCUUCGGGUUGUAAACCGCUUUCGCCUGUGACGAAGCGUGAGUGACGGUAAUGGGUAAAGAAGCACCGGCUAACUACGUG